AUCCAACUGACGAGUCCCAAAUAGGACGAGAUGUGCGUCAAACUGGAU
rnacentral:hammerhead_ribozyme from 1 species